GACUAUAGCUGUGUCCCCGUAAGAAGCUAUGGUAAAGAAUCGAUAGUGCGAUAGUCGAACAAUCGCAUUCGAUUCGAUAUUCGUCCAGCUGUUUGAAAUUCAACAUGGCGACCAGCCAUGCAUUUUCCCACGCACACGCAAGAACGGUGCACGGCACUGCUCGGCCAUGUGCACGGCCGGACUUCAGAUCGCUCAAUUAAUUUUGAUUAUUGAUUUACUUAAUUACCAGCCGUUAAAACUGUCAUCUUCUCUGCUCAUAUAGAAGUAUUUCAACAAUUCGAGACGAUGAUUUAACCCCAGGGUCAACGAAAACCAAGAAGAAGCCAUGGCAAGUGUGGAGAAACCGAAGUUCGGAGUGGAUUUUUACAGUCAAUCAAUGAAUGCAGACCGGUGCUUGAAACUCUGUUGGCACGCUAGGACAAGAUAAGGAAUGUGUGAGCUUUGCGCCUGUGAGACCUUGAUCCCCUAGGCCUGAGUAUGCGGAUGAGAUUUUCAAGGAUCGAUUCCUGUGUGUGAGACUGAAACUAACUUUAAAGAAGGAACCUCUGUGCACAGUGAAGAGUGUUUAACAGGUUUUGUGUCACAAUCCCCUGCAAAUAGCAUGAACUGUGAAUGCUGCUGCCAUACCUAAUGAUCUUCCUAGUUCGGACUCCACUGCCAGAAUGAACUUUUGGAAGAUGGCUUGGAACAAGUGGUCAUGCUGUCAACGUGGCGAUGUUGCUCUGGAGCCAUGCCACAACCUAAGUCCAAUGAGCAGUCAAACUGGGUGGAAAUCUAUGAAAAGACUGUUGAAGUAUUAGCUCCUGAAGUGAACAAGCUGCUUAAUUUCAUGUAUUUUCAGAUUUAAAAACGUAUCAAAAUGGCUCCAGAGCCACUGGAUAUCUCGGAGCAUGAGUUGCUCUUCAAAGCAACCAAUUCAUCCAAACUGGCCUCCAUAGAUUUGUCUCAGGAGGACAGGUCAAGAGUUGAAAUAUUUGCCGAGUAUUGUGCUAAGAAGCGAGAACCUAUUUGCGGUCAGUUUUUGAACUUGUUAAAUGGAACUGAUGGAUUCAUUGUGAAUAUGUCUGCCAGAAUAAUCGCCAAGAUUGCCU